rnacentral:lncRNA from 13 species
AUGUUGUGUUGGAGGUAUGAACCAGUGACACAUCUUUCAAGCUGCAUUCUAUCCACUUACAGAUUGACAUUUUUAUUGGAUAUUGACGGAAAGCCACUGCUGUCUAUACAAAUCCAUCUGCAGCAGGGACAGGAGAUUGCAGCGUAUCUGAUCACAUUUGAGAAACAUGAAGAAUGGCUGACAACAUCACCCAAGACCAGGUGAGACACACACACACGUGCACACGCAGACACGCACACACAAUAAUUUAUGGUAACACAUGUAGAACUUACACAGUACCUUUACUAUCUAAAAAUGUCAAUGUAAAAUGAUGAAAACCUAGUCAGCUAUAAAUGUUGCAUUAAUGAAUGUAAAUGUAUGAUGAUAAGUGAUGUAUAAUUCAGGUUUUAUGGGGGACGUGUGUGUUUAAGAGAGAGGUUAGCAGGAUUUCACAUCUGAAAUUGAAUAUGUAUAAGCAUAACUGCAAAUUAGUUAUAGGGAGAGAGAGCGGGAGGGAGAGAAAGAUUUUGAAUUUUAAAAUUCCCUUUAUCGGGUCAAGACCCUGCAGUACAUGAACAUUCCAGCCUGUAAGAAAAACAGAAGUUUAAGAGAGAGAGAGAUCUAAAGAGAGAGCGAUAAAGCCAUAUCCUAUUCCCCAUAGACCUGAACCCCAAGACAAUUGUGUAGAUCUGAAGGCAUUGGUUCGGUGUAAAUUCAAUUGAUCAACUUCCAUCAGAGGUUGAGGUGGAGCUAUUACCAUAUAGUGUUUAUCAAUUCAAUCAUAUACCUAGGCCUAGUGGGCAUUAGCUAAGGGUCGAUCUGGGAUUGGGUGACUGUCACACUAGGCUACAUUUGAAUCUAGUUAACAUCUGACUGGAGUUUAGCCUCCAGCCAGCUGCUAGAAGUAUGGUAAUUGGUUAUGACACUCGCAGGCCUAGCAGUCUGAUGGAUGGCAGCUGUAGACAGUCAGUCACAUUAAAUCCACUCAAUUCAGAACCACAAAGAAAUGGAGCCAGAUUAUGGUAGAUUACAGCUAAUCCCACUGGUGUGGGCUGGGGCUUUGGUGAACUAUAGCAUACUCGUAUAGCCAAUUUAUAACCAUUUUAUAGCAGGUUCAUAUCAGCUUUAUAACAGUCUUAUAUCAGGCCCAUAUCAGCUUUAUAACAGUCUUAUAUCAGGCCCAUAUCAGCUUUAUAACAGUCUUAUAUCAGGCCCAUAUCAGAUUUAUAACAGUCUUAUAGCAGCUUUAUAACAGUCAUAUAUAACGCCCAUAUCAGCGUUAUAACAGUCUUAUAUCAGGCCCAUAUCAGCU